rnacentral:lncRNA from 1 species
AAAUGGGGUGACAUUGGUGGCCAUGGGGUGGCAAUAGGGUGUCACUGAUGGCCAUGGGGUGGCAAUAGGGUGACACUGGUGGCCAUGGGGUGGCAGUGGGAUGGCAGUGGUGGCCAUGGGGUGGCAUUGGUGGCGAUGGGGUGGCAAUAGGGUGACACUGAUGGCCAUGGGGUGGCAAUGGGGUGGCACUGAUGGCUGUGGGGUGGCAUUGGUGGCCAUGGGGUGGCAAUAGGGUGACACUGAUGGCCAUGGGGUGGCCAUAGGGUGGCCAUGGGGUGGCAUUGGUGGGCAUGGGGUGGCACUGGUGGCCAUAGGGUGGCCAUGGGGUGGCAAUAGGGUGACAUUGAUGGCCAUGGGGUGGCAGUAGGGUGACACUGAUGGCCAUGGGGUGGCAAUAGGGUGACUCCGGUGGCCAUGGGGUGGCAUUGGUGACCAUGGGGUGGCAAUAGGGUGACACUGAUGGCCAUGGGGUGGCAGUGGGUGACACUGAUGGCUGUGGGGUGGCAAUAGGGUGACACUGGUGGCCAUGGGGUGGCAAUAGGGUGGCACUGAUGGCAAUGGGGUGGCAAUAGGGUGACACUGAUGGCCAUGGGGUGGCAUUGGUGGCCAUGGGGUGGCAAUAGGGUGGCACUGAUGGCAAUGGGGAGGCCAUGGGUGGCCAUGGAGUGGCAAUAGGGUGGCACUGGUGGCCAUGGGGUGGCAAUGGUGGCCAUGGGGUGGCUAUAGGGUGACACUGGUGACACUGAUGGCCAUAGGGGGGCAGUAGGGUGACACUGAUGGCUGUGGGGUGGCAAUAGGGUGACACUGAUGGCCAUGGGGUGGCAAUAGGGUGACACUGAUGGCCAUGGGGUGGCAAUAGAGUGACUCCGGUGGCCAUGGGGUGGCAUUGGUGGGCAUGGGGUGGCAAUAGGGUGACACUGGUGGCCAUGGGGUGACACUGGUGGCCAUGGGGUGGCAGUGGGUGACACUGGCGGCCAUGGGGUGGCAGUAGGGUGGCACUGAUGGCCAUGGGGUGGCAUUGGUGGCCAUGGGGUGGCAAUAGGGCGACACUGAUGGCCAUGGGGUGGCAAUAGGGUGACACUGAUGGCCAUGGGGUGGCACUGG